rnacentral:snRNA from 8 species
AUACUUACCUGGCAAGAGAGACACCGUGAUCAAGAAGGCGGUUCACCCAGGGCGAGGCUCAGCUAUUGCACUCCGGCUAUGCUGACCCCUGCGAAUUUCCCAAAUGUGGAAAUCUCGAUUGCAUAAUUUCUGGUAGUGGGGGACUGCGUUCGCGCUCUCCCCUG